rnacentral:pre_miRNA from 1 species
UUUCUUCACUCUCCUUUUAAGGCUUCAAGCUUUAGUUUGAUUUUAGCUUGAAGCCUUUAGAGGAGAGUGAAAAA